UGGGGGAUGUGGUUGGGAUUUGUGUUAUUGGGUUGUUGUUCUCGUAUUGUUAUUCGAGAAUCUGUGGUUGUGGGAGGAAAAAAGAUGAAUCCGGAUUUGGUUUUCAGAAGGGGGGAGGGAAAGGAAGGAAAGAGUGUUUAUGUUUUAGGAAGGAUGAGUCAGAGACGUUAUCGGAAAAUGUUGAACAAUAUGAUCUAGUGGCA
rnacentral:misc_RNA from 1 species